AAAGCUAUGUGCAAGGACAAUAUGAAGAUUGGAUCUAGGUAUAUUGAACUAUUUCCUUCUCAUCCAGAUGAAGCUAGACGAGCCGAGUCAAGGUCACAACACUGAUGCCAAAUACUUUGCAAUGUGAAGCAUUUUUAAGCAUCACAUGUUUUCUAUACCUGUUUCUACUGUGGAUUAGUCUUGCACUUGUUAAACAUUGUCUUCUCUGAUUACUGUCAUUACUGUAUGAUGAUGAUUAUAUCCCCGUAAGUAUGCAUUUUGA
rnacentral:misc_RNA from 1 species